rnacentral:lncRNA from 1 species
GGGGAGGUUAUGCUGCUGUGAUAAGUGCUCUCGAGGGGGAGAAAGUGCAAUAAUGAACCAUAAUGGAGAGUCUGGGGUUUGUGACGUCUACUUGGAGCGUGGGCAGGGAAUUCCAAGAGAGAAGGGAAGGAAAUGGGCAAGCAAUGAGGAACAGUGGAAUCUCUUGGCUAUGACACUCAACCCUUCCUUGAUUUGCAGCUGGGUUCUGCUCAGGGUGUGUGGCUGCUCGGCCUCACUGCUGCUUUCCUGCACUGGAUGCGUGCACCUCCAGGAGUGUUGGUUCUUCUGCAUCUCAGGGAAGGAGACUCAUCCUCAUCUGCGCCCUUUUCAGCUGUGAAGGAAGUGUUGGUGCAGGGUCUCCAGGAGGGCCAUAGGUCCUAUGGGCCAACCUGGGCUCAUCCAUGCAGAGCUCCUCCUGGCGCAGUGUGUCUGCCAUAUCCCAGGUGAGAGAUGUCUUCUUCUCCAAACCUAUGAGCAGCUUUUCCCCCCAACCAACUCUCCUGGAGAACCUGUGGGCAGUCUGAGGUCUUCUGUAUUGCCUGUUUGUCCCCACGUCUGUUUUGUACGAGUCAGAGGGGAACAACACGUGUUGAUGUUUAGGGUUGCAGAUGGUUUUGUUUAGCUUGUUAAUCGCAAUAGCGUGGCCUGUGACUGCUCCCAGCAGUGGGUACUGAAGCACUCUGCACAAGCUCUGCUCAUUGGUCAGGGAGGAUGUUCUUGAGCUUUCACUGUGCUUCAGCCCCUGGCAGUGUCCCUGGGAAGUGCCCUGCUUGGGGACAGAUGUUGUUCUAGGAACAGCAGUGAGGAAGCACGGCCCUGUCCCUCUGCUCAUGCACUGCCAGCCCAGGAGAGGCUGAGAGUCUCAGUGCUAGCUUUACCCAAAGCCCCUCCCAGCCUUUGACUCUCUGCAUACUCCAUGUGUUUUUUUUUUUU